rnacentral:rRNA from 1 species
GACGAACGCUGGCGGCGUGCUUAACACAUGCAAGUCGAACGGUAAGGCCCUUCGGGGUACACGAGUGGCGAACGGGUGAGUAACACGUGGGUGAUCUGCCCUGCACUUCGGGAUAAGCCUGGGAAACUGGGUCUAAUACCGAAUAGGACUCCGGACUGCAUGGUCUGGGGUGGAAAGCUUUUGCGGUGUGGGAUGGGCCCGCGGCCUAUCAGCUUGUUGGUGGGGUGAUGGCCUACCAAGGCGACGACGGGUAGCCGGCCUGAGAGGGUGACCGGCCACACUGGGACUGAGAUACUGCCCAGACUCCUACGGGAGGCAGCAGUGGGGAAUAUUGCACAAUGGGCGCAAGCCUGAUGCAGCGAUGCCGCGUGAGGGAUGACGGCCUUCGGGUUGUAAACCUCUUUCAGCAUCGACGAAGCGAAAGUGACGGUAGGUGCAGAAGAAGGACCGGCCAACUACGUGCCAGCAGCCGCCGUAA